GAUGAAGAACGCAGCGAAAUGCGAUAAGUAAUGUGAAUUACAGAAUUCAGUGAAUCAUCGAAUCUUUGAACGCAUCUUGCGCUCCUUGGUAUUCUGAGGAGCAUGCCUGUUUGAGUGUCAUUAAAUUCUCAACCGCACUGACUUUGAAUUGGUGUGGCUUGGAUUUGGGGGGAAAAUUGUUGUGGGCUUUUUUGUAUAGUCUGCUCCCCUGAAAUUGAUUAGCGGUACCUUUGUGGAACUGUCUACAGGUGUGAUAAUUAUCUACAUCCUAGACAUCUGCUGGAAUGCUGCUUUCUAAACCUUACUUGUAUUGACAAUCUUGACCUCAAAUCAGGUAGGACUACCCGCUGAACUUAAGCAUAUCAAUAAGCGGAGGA
rnacentral:misc_RNA from 1 species